rnacentral:rRNA from 1 species
CACACGACUCUCGGCAACGGAUAUCUCGGCUCUCGCAUCGAUGAAGAACGUAGCGAAAUGCGAUACCUGGUGUGAAUUGCAGAAUCCCGCGAACCAUCGAGUCUUUGAACGCAAGUUGCGCCCGAGGCCACCUGGCCGAGGGCACGCCUGCCUGGGCGUCACNC